rnacentral:snRNA from 1 species
GUGCUUGCUUCAGCAGCACAUAUACUAAAAUAGGACACAGAGAAGAUCAGAAUGGCCCUGUGCAAGGAUGAUGUGCAACACUGCAGUGUUCCAUGUUUAA